AAGUCUGAAAAUGAAGUACUCCGUGCUCGACUGAAGGGUGUGGAAGGACAGGCUUCUCAAAUUUUGAAGCAGAAGUCGGAAAUAUCUGAGAUCCUUUUUGUGAAAGAACGCGAACUAGACGGCAUCAAGAAGAGCCAGGAAGAAGAGAUUGAUGAAUCUCUAGAACUGAUGGAAGACAAGAUGAACAAAGUGAAAGAGGAGAUGGAAGAG